GCUGUGCACAGUGGCACGUGCCUAUAGUCUCAGCUACUCGGGAGGCUGAGGCAGGAGGAUCACCUGAGCCCAGGAAUUCCGGCUGCAGUGCACUAUGCCAAUCAGGUGUUCGCACUAAAUUCAGCAUCAACAUGGUGGCCUCCACCAGGUUGCCCAAGGAGGGGGGGGGUGUGAACCGGCCCAGGUGGGAAAAGGGACAGGUGAAAAUUGUCAUGCUGAUCAGUAACGAGAUCGCGCCUGUGAAUAGCCACUUGCACUCCAGCCUGAGUGACAGAGAGACGCUGUGUUUUU
rnacentral:SRP_RNA from 1 species